UAGGGAAUUUUCCGCAAUGGACGCAAGUCUGACGGAGCAACGCCGCGUGAGUGAAGAAGGAUUUCGGUUCGUAAAACUCUGUUGUUAGAGAAGAACAGCGCAUAGAGUAACUGUUAUGCGUGUGACGGUAUCUAACCAGAAAGCCACGGCUAACUACGUGCCAGCAGCCGCGGUAAUACGUAGGUGGCAAGCGUUGUCCGGAUUUAUUGGGCGUAAAGCGAGCGCAGGCGGUCAAUUAAGUCUGAUGUGAAAGCCCCCGGCUCAACCGGGGAGGGUCAUUGGAAACUGGUUGACUUGAGUGCAGAAGAGGAGAGUGGAAUUCCAUGUGUAGCGGUGAAAUGCGUAGAUAUAUGGAGGAACACCAGUGGCGAAGGCGACUCUCUGGUCUGUAACUGACGCUGAGGCUCGAAAGCGUGGGUAGCAAACAGG
rnacentral:rRNA from 1 species